rnacentral:lncRNA from 1 species
UUGUAUCUUGUUGUAUCUUAGAUAUCCCAACAAUCUUAGUGAAGCUUUAUAUAAAUAAGAUUGCUAUAUAUUUGUGUUUAUUGGCAGCUUGUUGAUUAGUAAUCAUGGCCAAGUCCAAGAAUCACACCGCACAUAAUCAAACCAGAAAAGCUCAUCGUAAUGGAAUUAAAAAGCCUUUGAGAAAUAAAUAUCCUUCAUUAAAAGGGGUUGAUCCAAAGUUUUUACGCAAUCUUCGGUUCGCCAAAAAACAUAAUAAGAAGUCUGU